rnacentral:rRNA from 1 species
UACGAAGGGGGGCUAGCGUUGCUCGGAAUCACUGGGCGUAAAGGGUGCGUAGGCGGGUCUUUUAAGUCAGAGGUGAAAUCCUGGAGCUCAACUCCAGAACUGCCUUUGAUACUGAAGAUCUUGAGUUCGGGAGAGGUGAGUGGAACUGCGAGUGUAGAGGUGAAAUUCGUAGAUAUUCGCAAGAACACCAGUGGCGAAGGCGGCUCACUGGCCCGUUACCGACGCUCAGGCGCGACAGCGUGGGGAGCAAACAGG